AGAUCCUGGACUGUGCAGAAAUGGAUAGAUUGACUUCAUCAUUGAAGGAGAAGGAAGCUUCAGAAACGACCUGCUGUGCAGAAAUCCAGGCAGGUAGGACCUGGACGUUCCACAUCAGUGCGCAACAGAAUCUAAUGGUUCUGGAGACGACGGUGGCCGUUGUAAUCGAAUGUCAUUGGGAAACCUGUAAUGGCUUCAAAGUUUAAACUUGAGGAAGACAGGCCAUUUCACCAUGGAAAGGAAAAAUAAAAUCAGCUACCCCUGACAGAGAAGAGCCGUUGGGAAAGUUUAACCAUGGAGCAACCGGGACUGAGAUUGUUGUGCUCCUGAAAAGUUCUGUUCUGCCGGCAAUUUGCUCUAUGAGGUGCACGUGACUUACUCGAUGCGUUCAGAAAAUAGACUCCCUACUUCUACAGGCAUUAAACUCCCGGGGGACUCUGUGCCCAGCCAUAGUAAGUAUAUUGACUGCAAGCUUAAUUGGACUAAAUGCUUCAAUUUUCUAAAGGCUUCUUCUAAUAACAAUGGUCUGCAGAAAGUCAAUCAAAACAUAAUUCUCUGCAUUAUCUCCUAAGAGGGAAAAAUACACAAACCUGGAUGGCGUCAGUUCUUUAAUGCAAAUAGAGACACACACUGCGAGCACUCCUUGGUCAGUC